GCCAGCCGAGCCCGCAGGUGUCUGCCCUCCCCCAUCUCCACGGAUAGAGCACAGAUUGGCAGCAGAUUCAGGCCCUGAUAGGAGCAGCUGGAAAGAUGGUGCACAAGCAGGAGUCGGCUGACAAGGAGGGAAGAAAACCAUGCAAAGCUGCCAGACGGACAAGCAGCGGGCGAACCACACCAGGGCGAAAAGCCAGGAAAAUGGGAUGCGAAGGAAAAGGACUCUGGACAGAGUGAUCUCCCUGCCUUUAAGUAUCAGUCAUGUAUUAGCCAACUUUUGGCUGCAUGAGCUCUCUGUAACGCAGUAACGAGCUUGUGCGUUUGAUGCUGUUGCGCUUCUGCGGCAGUUGGGUGGAAGUGGACAACCCUGUAAGCAAGGCGUGUGUCACCGCCACCUCGUUUGUAAAGGGUGUGGAUCUAGUCGGUGGUCUUGUGCAGCGGGGCCACCCUGUAAACGGGGCCCGGGCCAGCUGCCAGACAUGACUGCCAGGGGCGCAGCCUCCUGUAAGCAGGGUGCAUGGUGCGUCUUACCGUGUAAGAAUGACAGGCAAUUUGAAUGUUCCUAGCAUUGGACGUCCUGUAAUUGGGAGUCAAAGUCCACUGCUGUUCCCAGCCAGUCAGAGAGGAGCCCCUGUAAGCAGGGUGGACGUAGCCUCCUUCCAGUGGCGUAGACAGCCGGAGCAGUCUGCAGCGCUGUGCCGCAGGGCGGCCUUGCAGACCGGAGCUGAGUCUCAUGGGGUGACAGCCAACUCUUUAGACCCCAGAGCUUGAUGACCUUCCCGUGGUCUGCGUUGAAGCCUGUGGCCUCCUCUCCAAUCCCUGUGUCCAGGCACCGGUCCUUUUUCAUGCAUCUGUGCCUGGCACUCCACAUCCAGACAGCUGGGCCACCCUGUAAGGAGGGUGCGAGUCCCACGUCCCUUGGUGCAGGGCUAGAUUGUGCAGAGCUGUGGACUACCCUGUAAGCAGGGUCCAGGUCUCAAUGUGCCUUUGGGGACAGCUGUCUUUUGGCGGGCUGACGGCCCUGCCUGUAAGCAGGGCUCUUGGCCCUUCUCCUUUGCGCCCCGUGGGCAGUCUGACUAGUCAGAUGGACCGUGCCCUGUAACGAGGGUGCGACUCCCGUGCCCCUGGUGCAGGCCUAGAUUGUGCAGAGCUCUGGACCACCCUGUAAGCAGGGUCCAGGUCUCGAUGUGCCUUUGGGGACAGCUGUCUUUUGGCUGGCUGACGGCCCUGCCUGUAAGCAGGGCUCUUGGCCCUUCUCCUUUGCGCCCCGUGGGCAGUCUGACUAGUCAGAUGGACCGUGCCCUGUAACGAGGGUGCGACUCCCGUGCCCCUGGUGCAGACCUAAAUUGUGCAGAGCUCUGGACCGCCCUGUAAGCAGGGUUCAGGUUUCUAUGUGCCUUUGUGGACAGCUCUGUCCUUUGCCAGGCCUGACGACCCCCCCUGUAAGCAGGGCUAGGGCCUCUCCCUUUUGCCCACCGUGGGCAGCCUGACUCCCCAGGCGGGCCGGGCCCUGAAACGAGGGCACCGGUCUCAGCCUUCUCGCCCCCCGGGAGCGGAGGAGGAUUUUCAGGGUAAGGUUCGAGGUCAAGCAGUUUGCAGCAUCGAGCUCCUUUCCAGCCUGGGAACACUUUUUCCCUUGUCAGUGUGUGGAGAGCGAGAGAGAGGAGCGCCUGGGAGCGAAAGCGUUUGUUAUUUUCUUUUUGUUGUUAAAAUCGCUGCAGCGUAUUUUAUUUUCUUCCCAGUGCUGGAAAAGGGGCGAGGUGCGUCCUCGUAGCCUUCUCCUCCCACCUCCAUACCUAGGGGGAUGGAUUUCCAGGCUUUUUGAUCUCGGGGAGCAUUAGGCCCCCUCUCUAAUACUUUUGGGCACACGGCCUCCCUGUACUUCAGGGUACAGGCCUUAGAGCCCCUCUUUUUGGGUUCCUUUGGGCACUUGGUAGCUGGAUUGCAGUUCCUGCCCUCCUUGAGAGACAGCCACGUAUUCCCCACCCGAGUCCCUGGGGACGAGUGCCCUGGCACUUGGCCAGCCGUUGCUCUGCGCCCCCGCCCCCGGCC